ensembl:piRNA 21ur-101 ncRNA
UAGUAGCCGCAUCAUUCAAAA